AAGGAUCAUUAUCGUACAACAGAGGCGCUGCGGGGCUGUCGCUGACCCCCCUUUAUAAGGGGGGUUGUGCACGCCUCGAGCGUUCUCAACAAACCAAUACACCCCCUCUUGUGCAUCACCGCGUGGGCCCCUUUAAAAAAGGGGUUCGCGUUUUUCACACAAACGAUCAGUAGUUGUAGAAUGUCUUCCUGUUUUGCGACUAGUACGCAAUCCAAUAAUAAUAACAACUUUCAACAACGGAUCUCUUGGCUCUCGCAUCGAUGAAGAACGCAGCGAAAUGCGAUACGUAAUGUGAAUUGCAGAAUUCAGUGAAUCAUCGAAUCUUUGAACGCAUCUUGCGCCCCUUGGUAUUCCGAGGGGCACACCCGUUUGAGUGUCAUGAAAUCUUCAACCUUCACCGUUUCUUGGAAUCGGGGAAAGGCUUGGACUUUGGAGGCCAUUGCUGAUUUCUAUCUGAAGUCAGCUCCUCUUAAACGAAUUAGCGAGGUUGUCCUUUUGCCGAUCCUCGGACGUGAUAAGUUGCUUUUACGUCCUCAAGUUUCGGUCAACCAUUUCAAGGCCUUGCUUCUAAACCGUUUCUUCGAGAAACAACCCCCCCUUUUUUGACCUCAAAUCGGGUGAGACUACCCGCUGAACUUAA
rnacentral:rRNA from 1 species